rnacentral:rRNA from 1 species
GAUGAACGCUAGCUACAGGCUUAACACAUGCAAGUCGAGGGGAAACGACAUCGAAAGCUUGCUUUUGAUGGGCGUCGACCGGCGCACGGGUGAGUAACGCGUAUCCAACCUGCCCAUCACUUGGGAAUAACCUUGCGAAAGUAAGACUAAUACCCAAUGACAUCCCACGAAGACAUCUGAAUGGGAUUAAAGAUUUAUCGGUGAUGGAUGGGGAUGCGUCUGAUUAGCUUGUUGGCGGGGUAACGGCCCACCAGGGCAACGAUCAGUAGGGGUUCUGAGAGGAAGGUCCCCCACAUUGGAACUGAGACACGGUCCAAACUCCUACGGGAGGCAGCAGUGAGGAAUAUUGGUCAAUGGGCGAGAGCCUGAACCAGCCAAGUAGCGUGCAGGAUGACGGCCCUAUGGGUUGUAAACUGCUUUUAUAAGGGAAUAAAGUGGGUCUCGUGAGACUUUUUGCAUGUACCUUAUGAAUAAGGACCGGCUAAUUCCGUG